GGCAUGGAGGAGCGCGGCGAUGCCGAGCCGACCGCCGGCUGCGGCAGUCUGGGCCCGGGCGGCGUUCGCAGCGGCGGCGGCGCUCCCUCGUGGGCCCCUGAGGACGCCUGGAUGGGCACCCACCCUAAGUACUUAGAAAUGAUGGAAUUAGAUAUAGGAGAUGCCACCCAAGUCUAUAUAGCAUUCUUGGUUUACCUGGACCUCAUGGAGAGUAAAAGUUGGCAUGAAGUAAGCUGUGUGGGAUUACCAGAACUCCAGCUCAUCUGCCUUGUUGGUACAGAGCUAGAAGGGGAAGGGUUACAGACUGUGGUGCCUGUACCCAUCACUGCUUCCCUCAGCCAUAACAGGCUGUGCAGAGCAUUUAUCUAAAUAUGGAAUGGUGCACCACUAUGGACAGGACUGGAAGAAGAUAAAAUUUUCUUUCCAGUCAAUUCUGUUGCAUCUUCUCGUGAACACUGGGUACUGUUCUUAGAGUGGCAAGACUGGGCAGCAAAAAGAAAUGAUAUCGAGUUGCAGAGCUUGCCAAAGUGGAAAUCAAUCACUGCAAGGCCUUUUAAGGUCACGAGGCCCAGGUCUCAAUGCUCUGGACACUGGCUCUGCCUGUGACCUCAGGUGAACCACAAAAUGACGGUCAGCAGCUCGUACAGCCCUUGGGAGGCAGGGCGGUGUAGUGGAAAGAGCACAGGCUUCAGCAGCUCCAGACUGGAUGUCCUGCCCUGACACUUAUUUAUGGGAGACCCUGGGCACAGAAGAAAGGCCAUAUGAGGACACAGUGUAAAGGCAGCUGUCUUCCAGCCAGGAAGAGACGCCUCACCAGAAACUGAAUUUUCCUGAACCAUGAUUUGGGUCUUCUAGUGUCCAGAACUGUGAGAAAAUAAAUUUCAGUUGUUUAAGCCACCCCAUCUGUGGUAGUUUGUUAUGGCAGCCCGAGCAGAUGACUACGAUGGUAACUCAUGGAAAGGGCUUUGGUUCAACGCCUGGCACAAGGUAGAGAUUCGCUAAGUGUAGCUGUUACUAUUAUUAUUGCUUCUAAUAAAACACCCACCUUUCUAGGAGAGAGAGAGAAUUCUGGAAACUCUAAUACCAAACAGUCUGCAAAUCCACUUUAAGCUUCUGAUGGGAAAUUGAGAGCAUCAGAAAGAAAGCAAACCACAUUCACUGAAAUUUUCCAAUCCUAUUUCUGUAUAUAAGUCAUAAUGGUUUGUGUCUAAUAACAUGCCUGCAUCUUCCUUCUGAGGAACUUAAUGUGUUUACAUCCUGAGGAUGAGUUAACGGAACAUCUUAGAUGGCCCGGUGCCUGACACUAGGACGGUGCACAUGAGGCACUACAAAAAUAAGGUGCUGUGUCAGGCACUAGGGAUAUAAAUGUGAGCAGGAAAGACAUGAAUGACCCUGUCCUCCCAGAGUGUCCUGCCCAUAAGGAAAGACAGCAAUUAAAUCUGGCUUUACAAGAAAUAUACCAUCACAAUAUGGGGAAACCAAUGGAAUAGAAGAAAGGAAGACGGUGGCCCAAUCUUCAUGUAAACACACUAACGACAGACUCAAGGUGAUGUGACCACAUAUAUAGCUUGAAGAUCUUCUGUGUUAAUCUGGGUGAGAGAAUAUGUUUCAUGAAAGGACCUGGAGAGCUGUACUCAUGCUGGGCCAUUCCUUGCUUCUCCCGAGUCUUGUGAUUGCUGGUUUCAUGAAAUUAUAUGUAAAGCAUGAUACUGGCCUCACCCUCAAUGUUUCCAGUUUCUCCAGCAUGUGCAGAGCUCUCCUGACUCUGGACUCAGAGCAUCCAGAGGACUCGACUUUCCUACUCAUGGGACCCUGCGUACACUGUCUCGUGCCAUGUCUCGAGUCAUUACCCUACAUCAAUCAUCGUUCUGGGAAGAUGGGAGCCAGUUGGUGGUAAUAGUGGGUGCCUUGCCAAGGAGUUUGGAGGUUGUAAGUUACUUGGUAAAGGAGAUCCAACCCUGGUGUUUAACUGUGAACAGUGAGACAACAUCCUUGUCCUCGUAGACCUUACAUUCUCUUGGGGGCAGUAACAGAAAAAGAAAGAAAAAAGUUCCAUGAAGAAAAUAAAACAAGAUGAUGAUGCGACAGUGAGUGCAGAAGAGUGGACAAGCUAUUUUAGCAGGAUUGACCAGGGAAAUCCUCUCUCAGAGGUGACAGCCUGAGAGUUGGAUGAUGAGAAAGUUAUAGGGAUCAAGAAAACAAAACAAACAAAACCCCCAAACAAGAACGAGAAUAAUCAUUGAUGAAGGAGAGCAAUAAGAUUCAGUACGAAGACACUUAGAGCAGGAAGGGACCUGCUCCAUCUGCAAGUCUGUCUCACUCAUUUCCUGUCUCCAGAAAGGAAACUGAAGCCAGAGAGAUAAAGAGGCUGACGCAAGGUCACAAAGCUAAUUAAUAGCAUAGUCAGAAAGAGACUCUUAACCUCUACUUCCAACUUCAUCCCCUACUGCGUAAGUCUCUCUUAACAUCUUGAAUCUCAUUUUCUUCUUAGUAAAAUGGGUUAUUGUGAGAAAUUCAAAAUGUAACAUAGACAAGGUGUUCAAAAUGUCAGGUAUUUCCAUUACUGGAUUUGUUUUAAUCCUGUUACAGUGUACUCCUCAAGUAGUUAACAAUGUUAUUACUUUAGUAAUACAAAAGCAUAAUAUAAAUAUUUAGUAACUUGGUAAUACAAAAAGCAUGAGAGGCAAUGAGCAUUCAACUCCUGAUUAUUUUAGUCACCGAUAUGUGGGUUAAGUCUCAGCCCGGGGCCUCUGCUGUCAACAUCAAGCACCACCUGCCAUCUGCCUGGAGGCAGCUACUGGAACUGCUGUUGGGGAAGAGAUAACCAGCCCCCUACACUGCUGGCCUUGCAAGCCCCACCUUAUUAAGUGGUGGCAAGUAUCACAGUCCUAAGAUGCUUCUGAGGAGAGAAAAAUGAGGCUGUGGACUUCCCAAUAGACACAGCUGUCAUCAAGCUCUUUACGGAAAGCUGCUGUAGACAGGGGCUGAGAAGAAGAUGAAGGCUUUAACAGGAUGUGAAAGUUGAAGUGAUAAAAAGGGUGCACUAAAAGCACAUGGCACAGGAAAGGCUUUUCUACAUCCAGAUUGAGAAUCAGACCUGCAUUUCGUUACUCGGCAUUUUGUAUUGUACCCCCUCCCCCAACACACCUCUGCCCUUUGAGCUGGUGUUUUUGUAAAUAUUUGGAUAGGACAAAGAAUAUAAUAAACAGGGUCAUGGCUUUGCCAGAGUGACAGUCACUGUUGGAAUAUACAUACUGGCUGUCCUUAACUUCUCCAUGUCACUUGAUUUUUCUGAUCACACUUUUGGGGUUUAACCCAGGGGCUCGGACCCCAAGCCCAUGCUGUAGCAUUCUGUUGUGUUGUAUCUGAGUUUGGUGAUGAUGGAGCCACCCGUGUAAUUAUCAUUAAUCAAUAGUUUGAUAUGACUAUCGCAUGAUUGCCAGAGUGACAAUGAAAAUGAGGCCUUGCACAACUGUGGGUUGCAUGUGAAAGAGUGACCUGAGAGCCAUGUCUGAGCCUCACUGCCCACUGUCAUUACCUCACUCUUCCAUCCCCACCUGGCCAGGGCUAGGACCCUCUUCCCAGACUGCAGCACCCUCACCUCCCAUCAUUCUGAACAGCAGAGAGUCCCAUCAGGAUAAUGCCCCAUUCACUUGUCAGCCCUCCUGUGCUCACCAAGGGCCCUGACAGUGGACACAGUGGCAUACAUGAAGCUGCAGAGGCAGAGGGUCCAAGUCUUUGCCCCAACUCUAGCAGGUCUACAUUCCAGAUCUUGCUCUACCACUUAAUUUCUUCACUAUGAGCUUGGAAAAAUUAGUUCCUUUCUCUGAACCUCCAUUUCCUCAGAUGUGAGGCUGGAAUAUGUCUAUCUCAUUGGGGUCUAAGAAUUUUAAAAAAUCACAUUAUUGUAUAUAAAAAUGCUUUGAAAAAUAGAAAGCACUACUCAAGCACAGCUAUUAUUCAAUAGUCUACAUACACCGCAUGGUACU